UACAGAGGUCCCAAGCGUUGUUCGGAUUCACUGGGCGUAAAGGGUGCGUAGGCGGUCGGGUAAGUCUGAUGUGAAAUCUCACAGCUUAACUGUGAAACUGCAUUGGAUACUAUCCGGCUCGAGGAAUGGAGGGGAGACUGGAAUUCCUGGUGUAGCGGUGAAAUGCGCAGAUAUCAGGGGGAACACCGGUGGCGAAGGCGGUUCUCUGGGCCUGUACUGACGCUGAGGAGCGAAAGCGUGGGGAGCGAACAGG
rnacentral:rRNA from 1 species